UACGAAGGGGGCGAGCGUUGUUCGGAUUUACUGGGCGUAAAGGGCGCGCAGGCGGUUCUGUUUGUCAGGCGUGAAAGCCCCGGGCUCAACCCGGGAAUGGCGCCUGGGACGGCGGGACUAGAGAUCGGGAGAGGAGCGUGGAAUUCCCAGUGUAGAGGUGAAAUUCGUAGAUAUUGGGAAGAACACCGGUGGCGAAGGCGGCGCUCUGGACCGAGACUGACGCUGAGGCGCGAAAGCGUGGGGAGCAAACAGG
rnacentral:rRNA from 1 species